AGGAUCAUAGUUCAGUGGUUAAGCAUCUGCCUUGUAUGCAGAAGGUCCCAAAUUCCAUCUCUGCUGACCGAAACCCUG